rnacentral:lncRNA from 1 species
GCUAAAUGAUUCAAUUUGCAACUUUGCUAAUUGUGCACAAGUGAAUGGAGGGUGUGUUUGACUGCACGAUUUUGGGCUGGAAAGGCUGCAGAAGGACAUUCCAAUGCUGCUUGUGGUCUGCACAGAAAAUGCUGUACCUUGCUUUUACUUAAUGACCAAUUGUACAAUUUGCCAACUUUGAAUUUUUGUCCAAAAUGGUAGUGUAAUGGUGUUAUGAACAUGCUUUUAAGCUUGGAGCAAAUCACAAAUGACAUAUGAAACAUCUCCCAAUUGGCCAAUUGGUGAAAAAAGUCUUAAUUCAAAAAGUCAAAGUUUGGUCAAACUUUGAUUUUAAAUGCAAAAGGUCCAAAAAUGCCAUUUUGAAUGGCAAGGUUUUAGGUCAUGAAAUUUAUAUUUUUGGAAAGAGGAUG